ACCUACGGGGCGCAGCAGUGGGGGAUAUUGGACAAUGGGGGAAACCCUGAUCCAGCGAUGCCGCGUGAGGGAAGAAGGUUUUCGAAUUGUAAACCUCUGUGGAGGGGGACGAUAAUGACGGUACCCCUUUAGGAAGCCACGGCUAACUACGUGCCAGCAGCCGCGGUAAUACGUAGGAUGCGAGCGUUAUCCGGAUUUAUUGGGUUUAAAGGGUGCGUAGGCGGAGUGUCAAGUCAGCGGUAAAAUUUCGGGGCUCAACCCCGUCGUGCCGUUGAAACUGACACCCUUGAGUGAGUGAGAAGUAA
rnacentral:rRNA from 1 species